AGUUCGAUCAUGGCUCAGAUUGAACGCUGGCGGGAUGCUUUACACAUGCAAGUCGAACGGCAGCACGGACCUCGGUCUGGUGGCGAGUGGCGAACGGGUGAGUAAUGUAUCGGAACGUGCCUAGUAGCGGGGAUAACUACGCGAAAGCGUAGCUACUACCGCAUACGUUCUUCGGGGGAAAGCGGGGGACCUUCGGGCCUCGCACUAUUAGAGCGCCGAUAUCGGAUUAGCUAGUUGGUGGGGUAACGGCUCACCAAGGCGACGAUCCGUAGCUGGUUUGAGAGGACGACCAGCCACACUGGGACUGAGACACGGCCCAGACUCCUACGGAGGCAGCAGUGGGGAAUUUUGGACAAUGGGGGAACCCUGAUCCAGCCAUCCCGCGUGCGUGAUGAAGGCCUUCGGGUUGUAAAGCACUUUUGGCAGGAAAGAAACGGCACGAUAAUACCCGUGCAACUGACGGUACCUGCAGAAUAAGCACCGGCUAACUACGUGCCAGCAGCCGCGGUAAUACGUAGGGGUGCAAGCGUUAAUCGGAAUUACUGGCGGUACGGCGCAGGCGGUUCGGAAAGAAAGAUGUGAAAUCCCAGAGCUUAACUUUGGAACUGCAUUUUUAACUACCGAGCUAGAGUGUGUCAGAGGGAGGUGGAAUUCCGCGUGUAGCAGUGAAAUGCGUGAUAUGCGGAGGAACACCGAUGGCGCCCGCCACGCCGUCACGCCGCUGCCGGUCGCAAGGCAGCUCGAUAACACUGACGUCAUACGAAAGCGUGGGGAGCAAACAGGAUCAGAUACACUUGGUAGUCCACGCCCUAAACGAUGUCAACUAGCUGUUGGGGCCUUCUUCGCCUUGGCAGCGCAGCUAACGCGUGAAGUUGACCGCCUGGGGAGUACGGUCGCAAGAUUAACUCAAAGGAAUUGACGGGGACCCGCACAAGCGCGGUGGAUGAUGUGGAUUAAUUCGACGCAACGCGAAAAACCUUACCUACCUCGACAUGUCUGGAAUCCUGAAGAUUCCGGGAGUGCUCGCAAGAGAACCGGAACACAGGUGCUGCAUGGCUGUCGUCAGCUCGUGUCGUGAGAUGUUGGGUUAAGUCCCGCAACGAGCGCAACCCCUGUCAUUAUUGCUACGAAAGGGCACUGACGAGAUCGCCGGUGACAAACUGGAGGAAGGUGGGAUGACGUCAAGUCCUCAUGGCCCUUAUGGGUAGGGCUUCACACGUCAUACAAUGGUCGGGACAGAGGGUCGCCAAUCCGCGAGGGGGAGCCAAUCCAGAAACCCGAUCGUAGUCCGGAUCGCAGUCUGCAACCUGACUGGUGCAAGCUGGAAUCGCUAGUAAUCGCGGAUCAGCAUGUCACGGUGAAUACGUUCCCGGUCUUGUACACACCGCCCGUCACACCAUGGGAGUGGGUUUUACCAGAAGUAGUUAGCCUAACCGUAAGGAGGGCGAUUACCACGGUAGGAUUCAUGACUGGGGGUGAAGUCGUAACAAGGUAG
rnacentral:rRNA from 1 species